ensembl:lncRNA TEX36-AS1 TEX36 antisense RNA 1
AUUCCACCUCCCACACCUUCCCAACCCUGGCUGUGCUGGCCCUGACUGAGAGGAGGGGGUUUCCACUUCCGUCACCUGGCAAGGGAACCUCCACAGCCCAAGAAUAUUAACAUUUAUCAGGUGCCGGGCAUGGGCCUCAUGUGUUUUAUGUAAUUCAAUCCUCCCAACAAAAGUAUGAGAAAGACCACACUCAGGCCAAGCACUGUGGUUCCCGCCUGAAAUCCCAGCGCUUUGGGAGGUGGAGGCAAGAGGAUUGCUUGAGCUCAGAAGUUCAAGACCACCCUGGGCAACACAAGCCAGCCCUGCAGCACAGCCUUCAACAUGAGCAACUCCUGCUCUCUGUAGCUCCAGCCCCAGCCUGGACCUAUCUUUCAGAGCCAUAAUGCUGAGACAGUCCCUGAGUCUUGGAUGAACACAGGACUCACAGUGUCUACACCGGACAGUUUCUGUUUGCACGACGUUGAGUAAACUUCACAUCCAUCGGGGAAGUUACCCUUUGGGAUUACUGAUGAAGGUGAGGAGAAGAUGCUGUUCUGAGAGCUGCUGAUAAUACGUGGAUCCAAACCCACAGGCUUGAGCUGCUUAAUUGAAAUUCACGUCAAAAUGAAAUUCUGGUUUAGCUCAACUUGACUACUAUGGAUGAUGAAAAUAAAUCCCUGGGUCACACAAGGAUAGUGAUUGAGUAGAGCUUGUUUGCUGGCACAGGAAUGACAUUUCAACUGGAAUUAAAUUGUCGUCAGUUAACAGAA